rnacentral:rRNA from 1 species
AUUGAACGCUGGCGGCAGGCCUAACACAUGCAAGUCGAACGAGUGGCGGACGGGUGAGUAAUGUCUGGGAAACUGCCCGAUGGAGGGGGAUAACUACUGGAAACGGUAGCUAAUACCGCAUACCAUCGGAUGUGCCCAGAUGGGAUUAGCUCGUUGGUGGGGUAACGGCUAACCUAGGCGACGAUCCCUAGCUAGUCUGAGAGGAUGACCAGCAAAACUGGAACUGAGAAAGGGUCCAGACUCCUAAGGGAGGCAGCAGUGGGGAAUAUUGCACAAGGGGGGCAAGCCUGAUGCAGCCAGGCCGCGGGUAUGAAGAAGGCCUUCGGGUUGGAAAGUACUUUCAGCGGGGAGGCGUUACUCGCAGAAGAAGCACCGGCUAACUCCGUGCCAGCAGCCGCGGUAAUAC